UACGAAGGGGGCUAGCGUUGCUCGGAAUUACUGGGCGUAAAGCGUGCGCAGGCGGUUUUGUAAGCCAGAUGUGAAAUCCCCGGGCUUAACCUGGGAAUGGCAUUCGGGACUGCAAGGCUGGAGUGCGGCAGAGGAGACUGGAAUUCCUGGUGUAGCAGUGAAAUGCGUAGAUAUCAGGAGGAACACCGAUGGCGAAGGCAGGUCUCUGGGCUGACACUGACGCUCAUGCACGAAAGCGUGGGGAGCAAACAGG
rnacentral:rRNA from 1 species